GCCUGGUUGGCUCUGUCGGUGGAGCAUGAGAUUCUUGAUCUUGGGUCUGUGAGUUCAAGCCUUACUUUGGGUA
rnacentral:tRNA from 1 species